rnacentral:rRNA from 1 species
GACAUUGCAAAGAGUGGCGAACGGGUGAGUAACACGUGGGAAACCUACCUCUUAGCAGGGGAUAACAUUUGGAAACAGAUGCUAAUACCGUAUAACAAUAGCAACCGCAUGGUUGCUACUUAAAAGAUGGUUCUGCUAUCACUAAGAGAUGGUCCCGCGGUGCAUUAGUUAGUUGGUGAGGUAAUGGCUCACCAAGACGAUGAUGCAUAGCCGAGUUGAGAGACUGAUCGGCCACAAUGGGACUGAGACACGGCCCAUACUCCUACGGGAGGCAGCAGUAGGGAAUCUUCCACAAUGGGCGAAAGCCUGAUGGAGCAACGCCGCGUGUGUGAUGAAGGGUUUCGGCUCGUAAAACACUGUUGUAAGAGAAGAAUGACAUUGAGAGUAACUGUUCAAUGUGUGACGGUAUCUUACCAGAAAGGAACGGCUAAAUACGUGCCAGCAGCCGCGGUAAUACGUAUGUUCCAAGCGUUAUCCGGAUUUAUUGGGCGUAAAGCGAGCGCAGACGGUUAUUUAAGUCUGAAGUGAAAGCCCUCAGCUCAACUGAGGAAUUGCUUUGGAAACUGGAUGACUUGAGUGCAGUAGAGGAAAGUGGAACUCCAUGUGUAGCGGUGAAAUGCGUAGAUAUAUGGAAGAACACCAGUGGCGAAGGCGGCUUUCUGGACUGUAACUGACGUUGA